CCCGGGUGGUGCGCUGGCCGCAGACGUUGCAGGUGAAGGCGACGCGCAUGCGACGGCGGGGGGACUUGGUGAAGAGCGACCAGGGGAACGUCGAGAAAGCCGAUCCAGCGGCGGGGACGGAGGGGCCCUCCAUCCCCGACGGCGUGGUCCAGCCGGUCCCCGCCGCCGCGCUCAGCACCAGCCCCAUCGCGGCAUCCUUGGAGAAGGGG
rnacentral:misc_RNA from 1 species